GGUAACGGCCACCAAGCGACGAUGCGUAGGGGUUCUGAGAGGAAGGUCCCCCACACUGGUACUGAGACACGGACCAGACUCCUACGGAAGGCAGCAG
rnacentral:rRNA from 1 species